UUCUCCAUCGGGGACAUCCGAUAAAAUUGGAAUGAUACCGAUAGAAUUAGCAUAGCCCCUGUACAAAGAUAACACGCAUAAAUUGAGAAAGUGCUUCUCCUUUA
rfam:Capsicum annuum cultivar Zunla-1 chromosome 3, whole genome shotgun sequence